rnacentral:rRNA from 1 species
AGCCCCGGCUAACUACGUGCCAGCAGCCGCGGUAAUACGUAGGGGGCGAGCGUUACCCGGAAUCACUGGGCGUAAAGGGAGCGUAGGUGGCCUAACAUGUCAACUGUGAAAACCCGGAGCUCAACUCCGGACUUGCAGUUGAAACUGGUAGGCUUGAGGACGGUAGAGGAAGACGGAACUGCCAGUGUAGGGGUAAAAUCCUUAGAUAUUGGCAGGAACGCCGGUGACGAAGGUGGUUUUCUGGGCCGGUUCUGACACUGAUGCUCGAAAGCCAGGGGAGCGAACGGGAUUAGAUACCCCGGUAGUCCUGGCCCUAAACGAUGUUCACUAGGUGUGGGGAGCGGAAAGCCCUCCGUGCUAAAGCUAACGCGAUAAGUGAACCGCCUGGGGAGUACGCCCGCAAGGGUGAAACUCAAAGGAAUUGACGGGGACCCGCACAAGCGGUGGAGCGUGUGGUUUAAUUCGAUGCUAAGCGAAGGACCUUACCAAGGUUUGACAUGCUAAUGGUAGUGAAUUGAAAGAGGAACGACCACACUAUGUGUGGAGUUAGCACAGGUGGUGCACGGCCGUCGUCAGCUCGUGUCGUGAGGUGUUGGGUUAAGUCCCGCAACGAGCGCAACCCCUGCUCUUAGUUACCAGCGGUAAGGCCGGGUACUCUAGGAGGACCGCCGCCGACGAGGCGGAGGAAGGGGGGGAUGAAGUCAGGUAUCGUGCCCCUUAUAUCUUGGGCGACACACGCGCUACAAUGGGUUGGACAGAAGGGACCAAGACAGCGAUGUGGAGGAAAUCCUCAAACCAACCCCCAGUUCAGAUUGCAGGCUGCAACCCGCCUGCAUGAAGCCGGAAUCGCUAGUAAUCGCAGAUCAGCCAAGCUGCGGUGAAUACGUUCCCGGGUCUUGUACACACCGCCCGUCAAGCCACCCGAGUUGGUAACACCUGAAGAUGAGUAUCCUAACCGAAAGGAGGGAGCUUGUUUAGGGUGGGAUUGGCAAGGGGGGCUAAGUCGUAACAAGGUAGCCCUACCGGAAGGUGGGGCUG